CCUACGGGUGGCAGCAGUCGAGAAUCAUUCACAAUGGGGGAAACCCUGAUGGUGCGACGCCGCGUGGGGGAAUGAAGGUCUUCGGAUUGUAAACCCCUGUCAUGUGGGAGCAAAUUAAAAAGAUAGUACCACAAGAGGAAGAGACGGCUAACUCUGUGCCAGCAGCCGCGGUAAUACAGAGGUCUCAAGCGUUGUUCGGAAUCACUGGGCGUAAAGCGUGCGUAGGCUGGUUAGUAAGUCGUGGGUGAAAGGCGCGGGCUUAACCCGCGGACGGCACAUGAUACUGGGAGACUAGAGUAAUGUAGGGGGAACCGGAAUUCUCGGUGUAGCAGUGAAAUGCGUAGAUAUCGAGAGGAACACUCGUGGCGAAGGCGGGUUCCUGGACAUUAACUGACGCUGAGGCACGAAGGCCAGGGGAGCGAAAAGGAUUAGAUACCCCAGUAGUC
rnacentral:rRNA from 1 species